rnacentral:lncRNA from 1 species
AAAACCCUAACGGGUAAGACCAUCACUCUCGAAGUCGAGAGCUCCGAUACCAUCGACAAUGUCAAGGCAAAGAUCCAGGACAAGGAAGGAAUCCCUCCGGACCAGCAGCGUUUGAUUUUCGCCGGAAAGCAGCUUGAGGACGGCCGAACACUAGCCGACUACAACAUUCAGAAGGAAUCCACGCUCCACCUUGUGCUCCGUCUCAGAGGAGGUGCCAAGAAGCGUAAGAAGAAGACCUACACCAAGCCCAAGAAGAUCAAGCACAAGCACAAGAAGGUGAAGCUCGCCGUCCUUCAGUU